AUGAUUCACUUUUCCCUACUUGACCAUACACAACUCAUACUUAUGCCGGAUUUCACUUGACUCAUUUUUGUAACAACUUUGGUGCACUUUUCGGUAUUAACGCAAUAUUGUCUGAAAAUGCCAUACUAUGAUCAAGUGACUUGCCUAUCUUGUAUUGUACAUAAUCUUAUUGUUUCAAUCAUGGAUUUCUUACUUACCAGUUGUAUUUUAAUUGUGUUGUUAUUUUCUAACCAUUUUGGUGAGUUGUGUAUAUAUGGAGAAACAAGUUUGGAUUGGCUGCUUCGGUGA